CAACAGUUGUUUAUGGAGCACCUACUACGUUCCAGAACACAGGCCUGAAGGAGACGGGCAAGACUCCUGCCAUCUCGGAGCUUAUGGUCUAGCCUGGGAGACACCCAAUAAACACCUCACUUGGCCAAGAACCUUUCAGUGUCCCAUUACUCAUUGGAUCCUGGCAUGACAAAAGUCUGGAACAGAGGACAGAAGUCUGGAACUAGUCCAGGUGGAGAAACUGAAGCCCAGAGAAGACUU